rnacentral:rRNA from 1 species
GAGCGCCCCGCAAGGGGAGCGGCAGACGGGAGAGUAACACGUGGGAACGUACCCUUCAGUUCGGAACAACCCAGGGAAACUUGGGCUAAUACCGGAUACGUCCGUAAGGAGAAAGAUUUAUCGCUGAAGGAUCGGCCCGCGUCUGAUUAGCUAGUUGGUGAGGUAACGGCUCACCAAGGCUACGAUCAGUAGCUGGUCUGAGAGGAUGAUCAGCCUCACUGGGACUGAGACACGGCCCAGACUCCUACGGGAGGCAGCAGUGGGGAAUAUUGGACAAUGGGCGCAAGCCUGAUCCAGCCAUGCCGCGUGGAUGAUGAAGGCCUUAGGGUUGUAAAAUCCUUUCGGCGGGGAAGAUAAUGACGGUACCCGCAGAAGAAGCCCCGGCUAACUUCGUGCCAGCAGCCGCGGUAAUACGAAGGGGGCUAGCGUUGCUCGGAAUCACUGGGGCGUAAGCGCACGUAGGCGGCUUUUUAAGUCAGGGGUGAAAUCCUGGAGCUCAACUCCAGAACUGCCUUUGAUAC